GACCCAAGUAACAGCAUGUCUAUCAGUGUUUCCCAAAGAAGGGGGUGAUUUUAGAAGCCCAGGGGUGAUUUUGACGGCGCAGGGACUGCGGCGUUAAAUAGCACCAGAACACAAAAAUGAAAUGUUUCUUCCCUUUCAACGUGCUUUCAAACCUCUGGUUAAAUCAAGGAGAGAGUCUCAGUGUCAAGAUUGCCAAAGAGUGAGGCUGCCUGAAUUUCUCCCCGCAAGUCACUCAGCUCUUGGGGUCUUGUAAAAUGGGCAUGAUAAUUCUGGAUGCUUCCUGUCAAGGUACCCAGCUGUUUGGUCACGCAAGCACUGGCCUGAUUGUUACCAUGAGGAUAUUUUGGGGAUUUAAAUAAUCAGUCAGUUGAUUGCAUCUAUGGCUGAUUGCAUCUACAAUCAACAAAGGGGAUUGCCUUCAGCAAUGAGAGACGUCUCAGCCAAUCAGCUGUAACCUUAAAGGGAGAGCUGAGGAUUUCAGCAGUGAGGAAGAAGAAUUUCUCUCUUUACUUCAGCCAGCCAGCUUCUCCUGGGGAAUUCAUUGAAAUCUUCAUCAGAAUUCCCAGCUUACA